GCUUAUUUUGGUCAUCUAUCGCUUUAAAAAUCCCUUGCCCUUCCCUGUGGAACCAACUGCCAUUAACAGUCAUCAACAGUAAUAAGGUUGAAGCAACCUCUGCUCCAGAGUAUCUGACGAAGUGUGUAUUACACACGAAAGCUCAUACCUUGAAAGUUUAUAUUUACAGUGGUACCUCGGAUUACAUACGCUUCAGGUUACAGACUCCGUUAACCCAGAAAUAGUACCUUGGGUUAAGUACUUUGCUUCAGGAUAAGAACAGAAAUCGUGCUCCGGCGGCACGGCAGCAGCGCGAGGCCCUAUUAGCUAAAGUUGUGCUUCAGGUUAAGAACAGUUUCAGGUUAAGAACGGACCUCUGGAACGAAUUAAGUACUUAACCUGAGGUACCACUGUAGUUGAUCUUUAAGGUGCCACUGGAAUUAUUUUAAAAUAUUUUUUUCAUCUUUCAUCUUGUUAUUUAUUAUGACUAUGACAGAUCAACUCAGCUAUCCACCUGAAUCAGUAAACUCCAUCUUCCGUUCUGCAGAUCACGCAAUGGAGGGUGGGGCGAGGGGGCAGGGCCGGAAAGGGACCCACAGAUCGACCGCAAUCUACCAAAACCUCCCGAGGAUCUACCAGUAGAUCGUGAUCGACUUGUUGGGCAUCCCUGGGCUAGAGCAUCCUUUCUCAACCUGCUUCCCUGCAGAUGUUUUGGACUUCAGUUUCCAUGAAUCUCAGCUGCUACAGCCCAGUUGGUGAAGCCUGGAAAAGAAGAUAGCAGGCAUCUGUUCUAUGGUCACAUCUAUAGCAGUUAAGUUGCUUCCUAAAUGCUGUAAGUGCCAACCCCAUGCUUGGGCUAAGAUUGGAUAUUGUGAAUUUUUGCUGUGGUCAUUACCGAAAGCUGUAUAUUAGGACUGGAUUCAAAAUCUAUUCAAUUGCAAAAGAAUUGGCUACAUCUGGUAUUCCACUUAUUGCAAAUCUGUUCCCUCAUUCAUGGGCAUUAUGUACACGGUGAGCAGAACUAGAAUAGCCUAAUGUUCCUUGCAGGUUGUUGUGGUUUUUUUGAGACAAGCUGAAUUAGAAGAUUAUAUUGGUUUGCUCCAUUACCCCCUUUGCCUAGAUAAUGAUGGACAAGUUAAGGAUAAUAUCACACCUAUCGGGUGGUUCACACAUAGCAUACCCAUCAGUAGAUGUUGCAGUCAUGGAGCGAUGUAUGAAUGGGAUAUCGGAGAUGUAACAGAACUUUCAUAUAAUCUCAUACAUAUAGUCAGCUCAUAGAUUCUUCUGCCAGUCAUCAGGCGUCAGGCUGCCAAAAAAGCCCUUCCGUCUGUGGUUCAAUGCUGUAAGCAGAAACAGGCAUGGCUUGACAGUAAUUAACUCUAUUGCCCAGUAACCAAGGAGACAGCUCAUGGCACAUCCGUCAGCUAAGCAAGUCAGUUGCAGAAGCUAAAGUUCCGUCCUCUCUUCCCCUGUAUUUAUGCAUUUUUUCGCCGUGACUCAGCUUUUCUUAAUUGUUCUAGCCUUUCCUCGACUCUUCUUUCCUGCGCUGAGAAGGGGGAUGGGGAAGGAGCUGAAUCAGAAGUGUAUUGCAGGACAGGAGACACAGCCCCUGCUUCUCCUCUAGGAGUCUGUGGCUGGUAGCCUCUCCCCUUCCCCCUCACUCUCUGCUGAUGAUUUCUCCCUGCUCCACCAGUCUGAACCCGGUUCGAAGUCUGCUUCCCUCUCAGGUGCCUCUUGGACUAUUGGCUGCCACCUCUCUUCCUCUUCCAGCCAAUCCCUGGCAUCAAACCUGGUUCCCAUUUGAAUACACAUCACUUGAUGAUUUAGUACAGCACUCAGUGAUGCUUUGCCUAUAUGAACGGGCUACCACAGAGAUCGUGCCAUAGAGAAAGUGUUGCCUUCAGUGUCAAAGCACAUGCUUUGAAUGUCCUUGCUUCCUUUCUUUUUUUAAUAAUUUUUAUUCAUUUUCCAAACAAGUUUUAUACAAUCAACAAAUUGUUUUACACUCAUGCUUCAAUUUUUGACUUCCCUCAGUUUCUCUGACAAUCUUUCAAAAAAUUUCUAUUUAUUAACGCAUUUCUAAACAUGAUAUUGCCUUUCCCCACUCCUUUUCCUCUUACUCUCUUUUUUGCAGUAUUUCUUACUAUUUCACAGAGUCUCUUCAAAACCAACAAGCAUUGUCUGUACAUCACAUAUAUUUUUCAGAUAUUCUAUAAAUUUCCCCCAGUCCUCGAUAAACUUUUGGUCUUUCUGGUAUCGAAUCUUCCCAGUCAAUUUGUCCAAUUCUGCAUAUUCGGUCAAUUUCCUUCUCCAUUCUUCCACUGUUGGCAUUUCUUCCUGUUUCCAUCUUUGGGCCAGAAGUAUCCUUGCGGCAGUCACUGCAUAUUGAAACAGUUUACAGUCUCUCUUAUUGAUUUCGUUUCCUACCAUUCCUAAUAGAAAGGCUUCUGGUUUUUUAACGAACGUAUAUUUCAACAUCUUUUUCAAUUCAUUGUAUAUCCUUUCCCAGAAGUCUUUCACCUUUUUACAUUCCCACCACAUAUGAUAGAAAGUACCUUCUUUUUCUUUACAUUUCCAACACUUAUUGCAUGUUUUAUACAUUUUGGCCAGUUUAACUGGCGUUAUAUACCAUCUGUAAAACAUUUUCAUUACAUUUUCUUGAAUGUCCUUGCUUCAAUUCUCAGCAUCUCCAUCUUAUGACUGGGAAGGAUUCCAGUCCAAAAACCAAUAAUAAUAAUAAUAAUAAUAAUAAUAAUAAUAACAACAGUACAGUCAUACCUCAUGUUGAAGGGGCAUAUUACAAUAUAAUUGUUAUUAUUUUUAUCCCAAAAGGGGAGGUUUCUACACCAACCAGAAGGACACGCUUAAAUGUUACAGUGCAAAUGGGCCUCUCGUUGGAAUGUCUAGGCUUAGGUGGUGAAAGAUAAGAGCAAGGUUGAAUGUGUGUUAUUCUGGCCCCAGACCGGGGGGGGGGGGAGACUGAAGACAAGGAGGUGAGUUGAAAGGGAGGAGGGUAAUGCAAGAGACAAAGCCCCA
rnacentral:lncRNA from 1 species